rnacentral:rRNA from 1 species
UCGACCUCACAUCAGGCGAGACAACCCC